rnacentral:rRNA from 1 species
UACGUAGGGGGCAAGCGUUGUCCGGAAUCAUUGGGCGUAAAGCGCGUGUAGGCGGUUCGGUAAGUCUGCUGUGAAAGUCCAGGGCUCAACCCUGGGAUGCCGGUGGAUACUGUCGGACUAGAGUACGGAAGAGGCGAGUGGAAUUCCCGGUGUAGCGGUGAAAUGCGCAGAUAUCGGGAGGAACACCAAUUGCGAAGGCAGCUCGCUGGGACGUCACUGACGCUGAGACGCGAAAGCG